AAAAACAAUGGGGUAGAGAAAUUCUACAAAUUCUAGAAUACAGGAGCUACCUGUGAGCAGCGAGAAGACAGUCAUUCCUCAUCAAGUGAUUCAAAUUCAGGGAGCUCUUCUGGGAGUGAUUCAGAUGCC